UACAGAGGUGGCAAGCGUUGUUCGGAAUUACUGGGCGUAAAGGGCGCGUAGGCGGUUCGAUAAGUCCCGUGUGAAAGCCCCCGGCUCAACUGGGGAACUGCACGGGAAACUGACGGACUUGAGUUCGGGAGAGGGAAGCGGAAUUCCGGGUGUAGCGGUGAAAUGCGUAGAUAUCCGGAGGAACACCGGUGGCGAAGGCGGCUUCCUGGACCGACACUGACGCUGAGGCGCGAAAGCGUGGGGAGCAAACAGG
rnacentral:rRNA from 1 species